rnacentral:rRNA from 1 species
UGCGUAGGGUGCGAGCGUUAAUCGGAAUUACUGGGCGUAAAGUGUGCGCAGGUGGCCGCGCAAGUCGAGUGUGAAAUCCCCGAGCUUAACUUGGGAAUUGCGCUCGAAACUACGUGGCUCGAGUGUGGCAGAGGAAGGUGGAAUUCCACGUGUAGCGGUGAAAUGCGUAGAUAUCUGGAGGAACACCGGUGGCGAAGGCGGCAUCCUGGACCGACACUGACACUGAGGAGCGAAAGCCAGGGGAGCAAACGGG